rnacentral:lncRNA from 1 species
AUAUAUUUAUCUGUUUUCUCUAAAAUUUUUUGAUACUGCUUUGAAGGAAUCCUAAGAGGCACAAUUUUUCGAAAUGCUGCAAGCUAGUAGGUGAUAUGGAAGAAUAAAACGCAUGAUCAGAAAGUAAAGAAAGCUGACGUGGAAGAAAAGAAGAAAAAGAUGCAAGCAAUUGGAUCAAUUCAGAGAAACCAUAUCAGGGCUCUAAUGAGCAAUGGAUGAGAAAAAACAGAUGCAAAACGUCUGGUGCACACGAGAGAUGGUCCAUAACAGUGCUGUGAUGAGCCCCCAUCCCAGACGCCCACUGUGACCCAGCCUCCUUAUUCCCGGAGCACAGCUCCCAUCUGCGUAGCCCUCUCACACUCCAGCCGUCGUCUUAUGAUUUGUCUUCAGCAUCAUGUGGCUUCUAUGUGCUCAAGCUUGAGGCGCUGGAGAGCUUUCAAGAAAAGGUAAGACAUCUAUGAGUUGGAUAUAUGUCGUCAU